CCUGCUCUUCCAAAGGUCCUGAGUUCAAUUUCCAGCAACCACAUGGUGGCUCACAACCAUCUGUAAUGAGGUCUGGUGCCCUCCUCUGGCCUGCAGGCAUACACGCAGACAGAAUAUUGUAUACAUAAUAAAUAAAUAAAUAUUUAAAAAAAUAAGCGCAGUGGUUAUAAAUAUUUCCUUUGACUCUCGCUCUUUUGUACCUCCUGUCUCAGCUCUUUCUAGAGAAGCUUUUUUGAAGGCUUCUGUGGUUGUGAUGGGUGUUACAUGUAGAAACACGUGUGCUGACGCUCUGCUUUCCGCUCUCUGGUCACCUUUAUGCACCUGGGAUGCCUCCUCCACUUUUCUUUUAAUAGAGGGAGGCAUCGUAAAUUGUGAACACCAUCUGUUAGGUCAGAAUUUACUGCCUGGCUUCAGAGCAUCGAUUUACAACUGCCUUCAAUUUUCAGAAUCUUUUUCUGUUGAAUGAGCUGUUUGAGUUUUAGUUGAGUUGGUAACAUUGCUAAUGAUUGUGGUGCUUCAUUUGGUGGCCAUUGCUUCCUUUACCUUUAAGCUCUUCAUUUUCAAAGCUGCUGGUGAGGAGGGAGAACCGCAAAGUGAGACCGGUACAUAACUCAUCAGUGAUUGCCCACAGAGCACUCGGAAAGCCUGGCAAAAGUUACUUGAAGUUGUGUUGCCCUUCCCUGUUUGGGGAGCUUAGCAUUGUAGUUCUCUUGGGUGUUUGAAUGGGGAAUGUGUACUGACUGAAGUGCAUCCUGUAGACUGCUACUCUUUGCUCAACUCAGUUUGAGUUAUAAAGCCUAAAUUUGCAUUAGGUUGUCAUCUUUUUAAAUAUGAUUCAAAUAUGAGUAUUUUAGGCAUAAUAGCAUAUGCCUAUAAUCCCAACCCUCUGGAAGCUGAGGCAGGAGGAUCUUGAGUUUAAGGCCAUCUUGGACGACACAGAAAGACCCUAUUUCAAAUUUUUUUUUUAAAAAAGUAAGUCUGGUGGUGGUAUUCUGUGCCUCUAAUACCAGCACUUGGGAGGCAGAGGCAGGUGGAUCUCUUGAGUUCCAGGACAGCCUGGUCUGCAGAGCAAGUUCCAGGAUAGCCAGGCUACAUAGAGAGAUGCUGUCUCAAAACAGUAAAAAAGCAAACCAGAAUGUGUUCUGCAUUGCACUUGCCCUGCUCUCUGGGAUGUGGACGUUGUAUGGCAUACAGUUGACAGAAGGACCUCAGGUAAGGUCUCUUAGACUGCAAUGCUGAUGUUAUAGCACCUGGCCUUAUCCCACAUCACUUACAAUCUCAAAACCAGGUUAAUGUACAUGGAUACAAGGGGCUCCCCAAUUCUGUGGUUCUAGUUUAUUUUGAGGUGUUGAAGAUGGAUGUAUGUACCUGCUGUGAUAUGACCCACAUUUUUUCACUGGCAGGUGCUGCAGGCCCACGGCUCUUUACCAUACACCAGAUUGAUGCCUGCACGAACAACUUGCCAAAAGCCCACACUUGCUUCAAUCGAAUAGACAUUCCGCCCUAUGAAAGCUAUGAAAAGCUCUAUGAAAAGCUGCUAACAGCCAUCGAAGAAACAUGUGGAUUUGCUGUGGAAUGAUGAGCGCCAAGGACUUAACCUAGAACUCUUAUUUAUCCCCGGGCCGACAGCCUCCUUCAGCAGCGCUUCAGAGAACGCUGGAAUACAGGGCAGCCCCCUCCCCUGCCCCUUAGAUUCUAGGACACUGAGGGGAAAGGACAGUUUUGAAAUUCCUUUUCAAGGAAAAAUAAAGGUCUUUAUGCUUUGCCAUGAGGACACACUCAGCUGCUAUUUAAAAAUUAAUACCUUGAACCUAAAGAAUGCUGACUCCCUGCGUUUCCAGAGUUAGGCAGUAUUCUACACUUAAAGACUACUACUAUUUUUAUAAAAGGUUAUCUAUCCAAAUUGCUUCACAGACUCGCGUCUCUUCGCACAGCAAGACAACUCCAGCAGUCGGUACACAUCACAUUUCAUUUUGACUGAAUACAUGAUUUUUGAACAGCUCCUAUACUUGCUCUUUGUAAAACCUAAAUAAAAUUAUUUUGAAUUGUUCCACCUUUGUAAACAA